UGCGUAGGCGGGUCCGUAAGUCAGUGGUGAAAUCCAGCAGCUCAACUGUUGAAUUGCCAUUGAUACUGCGGGUCUUGAGUGGGAUCGAGGUGACAGGAAUGUGUGGUGUAGCGGUGAAAUGCAUAGAUAUCACACAGAACACCGAUUGCGAAGGCAAGUCACUAGGUUUCAACUGAGCUGAGGCACGAAGCGUGGGAUCAAACA
rnacentral:rRNA from 1 species